AAGCACUUGAAGGAGAAGAGCCUGAUGCUUGCGGUUCUUCAGUGCCUGGGCAACUGUCCCGGUCCUAGUGAGACAGCUUUGCGUAGAGAUCACGAAACUGGAUGCCUGCAGGACCUAGGCAGAUUCCUGUAUGGUUCUCUUUCACGUCCCCACUUGAGGGAGGUGCGGACAGGAAGCAAGCAUGAAGAUAAACCACAGCUAAUAGUCAGUUCAGUGGUGGAGCCAGACUUGGGCCAGUGGCCCUGAUGUGUAAGACAUUGUUACUGAGUUCCAGCCAGCUGCUGCCAUGCGGGAUUGCGGAUUUACUGUUUCCACUUACUCUAUCUUUUUUAAAAGAGACUAAUAUUCUCAAUUUUUAAGUGAAAGCUGCCAAUUAACAAAAUUAUUGACUUGUACUCUUUUGAAUUUCCCAGAGUAAACAAAAUAAAAUUCCAGGCAAGAAAAA